AUGGGCGAGCUGGCCAGCGUGCAUUGGCCGCUCAUGUACCUCCGCGCCGGGCACGUGCUGUGGUGGUGGUUCCGUCCAAGGAGGCUGCCCGCGAGGUGCUCAAGACCCACGGCGCCAUCUUGGCCACUGGGGCGAAGCUCAUGGCUGGCGACAUCGUGGCUCGACGGACCACCUAUUCUGCCCUAUCCCCGGCGACUACUUCGGAAAGCUCCGAAAGCUGUGCGUCUAGGAGAUCCUGAGCAACGACCGCGUCCGCUCCUACAAGGACAUCCGGGAGGACGAGGUGCGGAGCCUCGUCGACGACACCGGGGCGGCCGGGCGUUCGGCAUGAAGAGCAGCAGAGCCGAAGACUUCGUGGCGGCCAUCAAGCACAGGUUCGUCUACAGCACCAGCUUCUCGAUCCCUGAGCUCUUCCCUGAACAUAUAUGCGGGUGGGACAGAGACAUCUCCAUGGUAUGGGUCAGGUCAGAGCUGAUGAUGAAGCCAAAGGUAAUGAGGAAGCUGCAAGACAAGAUCAGGGCGGCGUUCCGCGAGAUCGAUCUCUGGACGAGCGGAAGUUGCAUCAAGUACCUCGGCUUGAUGAUCAAGGAGACGUUCAAGCUGUACCCAGCAACUACCAUCUUGAUCACUCGAGGGAGCACCGAGGCCUGCGAGAUCAACGGGUAUGUGAUGCCAACCAAGACGAGUGUGAUCAUAAAGUCCUGGGCCAUCAUGUGUGACCCCUAG
rnacentral:rRNA from 1 species